rnacentral:misc_RNA from 1 species
ACGAAUAACUAUGGUGUUGGUUGUCGCUGGCUCCUAGGAGUAUUGUGCACGCCCGCCAUUUUUAUCUUUCCACCUGUGCACUUAGUGUAGAUCUGGAUACCACUCGCUUUCCCAAGCGGACUCAGAGAUUGCUGUGUCGCAAGACUGGCUCUCUUUGAAUUUCCAGGUCUAUGUCUUUUUUACACACCCCAAUUGAAUGAUAAUGAAUGUUGUCAAUGGGCUUCCAAGCCUAUAAAAACACUAUA